rnacentral:lncRNA from 1 species
AGAGCACUUACAGUGCUUGUAAAUCUUCUGUUCAUUCCAACUCUGCAUAGCAGACCCGUGGCAGCUUUGUUGCUGUUGGAGCUGAGCAAUCACAUAUUCAGACUCAGUCCUGUCUGUCUGCGCAUCAGUGAGCAUAUUGCUGUGUUGUGACUGCUUUGCAAAAACUGAUGUGCAUAUGAACAAGGUUGUUGUUCUUUUCCCCUUUUCAUUAAAUUCUCCAGUGUUACUUCAUGAGGGGGCUCAUUAUUGCAAUUAGUUGCAAAACUAUUUAGAUAAAUAAGUUGUGAUACCACUGAGAUACACAAAACGUUUGCAUGUUGAGGGUAUAAAUAAAAGUGUGUGUGCAUGUUUCUGAUCUUUUGUUUGCCUAACUGAAUAUGGAAUACACAGGGAGUUGUGUAAUUCCUUAUGAUUUGGAAAAUAAGUCUUUGAAUGUUAUUCUCAUGUAACAGGGCUGGCCGAUGGCACAGACAACUGUUAUCUGCAAUGUAUAAAUGAAGUGAUACAUAUGUGAGAUUUGUGUCUGCAUCAUUCAGAAUGAGAAUGUCAGAGAAUAUCACGUUUGCCUCUGGCACAAAGCCAAUGUUAUAGGCAGUGGAGUAAGCAGCAUGUGGAUCUUUUUGUAAUGAACAUAAAGCCAUGUGCCAACAACUUGUUUUGUAAUCCGAGUGGAUAAUGUGCUAGGUAAAGUGGUGCAAUACAAAACAAACAAACAAAUUAUGAUGUCUUCUUUCCACAGAAGAAGAAAAAAAGCAGAUGAACUAUAAACAACAGUAUCCCAAGUCUCAAAAGCUAAAAGAAAUGCAAACAACUGGUGGGUGGCCUGAUAUCAGCUUGAGGUGAGCAACAAAGGAAACUGCUGGAACAAUCAGCCCAGACAGCGAAACACAGGUUAAAAAUAUUGGAAGUCAUGAAGAUAUCUGAUUCCCACUGUCAAAUGCAACUUUUGAAAUCCCUCUGUGUACCUUGGGCCAGGAGAAUUGUGUGUGCUCAUGAAGAAACAUCGGUGAAUUCAGUGAUCUUCUCAGAUUUACAUAUACUAGCAAUCAUGUAGAAGAUUUAAAUCAGUGACAGCAUUUGUACUGGUCAUAUCCUAGCACUUUGCCUCUCAGGUAUGAACACACAUGAUUCAAAAUUCCACGCAAGUUUUUUGUUGAUGGAGGGAGACUCCUGGCUUACUUUUGUCUAUCUAAUUAGCAAAGCCAGAUCACAGUUGUUUGAGGGGUGUAUUUAGUGGUAUGAUUUUCCUUUUUUUGUAGUUCUCUUUAUCAGAAAAUUUCUAGGCACUUCUGAAGUUUCACAUCAAUUCCAAAGCACUAUGUCUACGUUGCACCACAUUCUACUUGUGUUUUGUUUGUAACAUUACCAAACUCAAGGCUGUGAAUUUAAAUAUAGAUAUUCC